rnacentral:tRNA from 1 species
AAAUAAGAAGCAUAUAAUGCAUUUAAUUUCGACUUAAAGGAUAGAGUACAAAACUCCUUAUUUA